CAGGAUCAACCAGGUAGCAUUCCUCGUAGACAUAACCCGCCCGCUGGUAUGAGCCAACACGGGACAGGCAGGUCAUUCAAGGUGAUGUGCCACUUUUUGACAAACCCUCCCGAUGGCAAGGCCGAUUCAGGCAAGACAGUAGGUCAUGAUAACUUUGACAAACCCUCCCGAUGACAAGGCCGUUUCAGGCAAGACAGUAGGUCAUGCUAACUUUGACAAACCCUCCCGAUGGCAAAGCCAAAUCAGGCAAGACAGUAAGCAUUGUUAACGUUUGACAAACCCUCCCGAUGGCAAUGACAAAUCAGGCAAGACAGUAAGCAUUGUUACUUUGACAAACCCUCCCGAUGGCAAUGACAAUUCGGGCAAGACAGUAAGUCGUGCUAAAAGAGGCACAAAAGCUAAAUGAGGGCAAAGAAGGAUCCCAUGAGACCCCAUGCCAACAUCGUUUUCCAUAUCCAGGAUACCAAGCAACACUCAAUGAGCCACAACAUCAACGCAUGCGUUAACAAUGUGGAUCAGAGAGAAUGCUUCGUGGUUCAUCCGAUGCCACCAAAAUGACAUGAGACGAAAUCAACUUUAAUCAGCCAACAAAAUACCAUAGCUUAGGUAUGCAGCACAGAAACCCACAAUUUGGAUAGGCAGUUCAAGCCUAAAC
rnacentral:misc_RNA from 1 species